rnacentral:tRNA from 1 species
ACUAUUAUGGCGGCAGAAUAGUGCAACGGUCUUAAACUCCGUAUAUAAAAUUUUUAUUUUUAAUAGAA